UACGUAGGGUGCGAGCGUUACUCGGAAUUACUGGGCGUAAAGCGUGCGCAGGCGGUUCGUUGUGUCGGCGGUGAAAGCCCCGGGCUUAACCUGGGAAUGGCCGUCGAAACUGGCGAACUGGAGUGUGGCAGAGGGGGGUGGAAUUCCGCGUGUAGCAGUGAAAUGCGUAGAGAUGGGGAGGAACACCGAUGGCGAAGGCAGCCCCCUGGGCUGACACUGACGCUCAGGCACGAAAGCGUGGGGAGCAAACAGG
rnacentral:rRNA from 1 species